UUGAAGGAGGCGUGCAAUAGAGCAAACCUCGUUUGGGCCUUAGGCCCAAGCUAAAUCCAAUGCACAACACCAAAAAAAAUGUCCAUCAGCAUGAAACAAAGGAUCAAACGCUUAUGCUCAUAAGUUGAAGCAAAAAGAUUGAAAGCGCUUCUCAAACAAAUUCCAAGUCAAUAUCGCGUUUCUUCUUCAUCGUGCUUCCAUUGUUCAACAUUCAGCAUCGCUUUUCAGCGUUCCACAUCCAGCAUCAUGUUUCAUCGUUCAACAAGCUCACAUAUUCACGUUCAUCAUUCGACAACAUUGCUCAUCAAGAACGCGCUUUCAACCAUAAACAUCUCAAAUUCAUUGAUUCAAAGCUUCGUCAACCGCGCAUUCAAUUAACCACAUUCCUAAUUGCGUCUAACCCCAACAAAUUUGACUGAAACUGAAACAAAAUCGCAACGCAAAGUUGAGACAAACGCAGAUUGGAGCAACAAAAACUCACCAGAUUCGACACGGUGGCAAAAAUCAGGUUGGAGGUUAUCGUGAGUUUGAACUCGUUAGUUUGUAAAUGGUAUGCUAAUUGGUUCAAAGUGGAUCAAUUGAAAGUAGUUUUGUUAAUUGGCUUUUGAUUUGUGUAGGGUAUGCUAAUUGGAGUUGAAUUUUGUAGGGAUAUCAAUGGGGAAUUUGGCUAAGUCAACGAAUACUUCAAAAUUGUAUUUGGAAGGCUCUUGUUGAAAUUUAAUUGCUUUCUUAAAAUUGAAGUUAACUGAUGCAAGUGUUUUGCAGGGUGUAAUGAAAAAAUUGCUUGUGAAGUCAUGCUUGCAUUGACACACAUCUAUUUGUAAAAUAUCCUUUAAAUUGCUUUGAAUGAAAUUGGAAUUAGUUGUGUACUA